UGUCUGUUGAAAAAGGAUUAAAGAUAGAUUCUGCUCUCUGCUUAGUAAAGGGCUGCCGUAUUCUGACUGUAUCAAGGUAGCAUAAUCAUUAGUUUAUUAAUUGUAAACUGGUAUGAAAGGUUGAACUAAAAAAAUUUAUAUUUUAUAAAAAAUUGAAUUUGGUUAUUUUGUGAAAAAACAAAUUUUUGAUUAUGGGACGAGAAGACCCUAAAAAUUUUAUUUUUUUAGCAGAGUUAUUAAAUUAGGAAAAGGAUAAAAGUUAUUUUUGAUGUUUUGUUAAAAAUGAUUUUGCUGGGGCGGCUGUUUUGUAUGGAACAUAAUUAAUUUAUUUUAAUUAAGGUUGAAACGUAGAAGAGAUCCUAUAAGUAAAUUAGGUUGAUUGAAGGGAAAAUUACUUUAGGGAUAACAGCGUAAUUAAUUUGGAGAGUUCAUAUUGAUAAAUUAGUUUGCGACCUCGAUGUUGGAUUAGGGUAAAUGAUUUAUGAAGAGAUAUAUAUAAUUUAGUCUGUUCGACUAUAAAAAUCCUACA
rnacentral:rRNA from 1 species